rnacentral:misc_RNA from 1 species
AGAAAGUUGAAGAUUUUCGAGUAAAAACUAAAAAUAAAUUUUUCUCUGUUCGUUUGAAGAAAUUAGACCGAAUCAAAAAGGUCGGUAUCAUGGCAGACCUAGAUUGGGGAGCUGCUGUUGACACUCAGGAACAAACACUGACAAGUCAGACCACAGGAACUGGACAACAAUCCAUAAACUGGGCAGAAGAAGUUGAGAAAAGUAACUUAACGGAAGAGAUAAACAGAAUAGCAAUUGACAAAAACAGAUCCCCUUCCAAAUCUCCCAGUGCACCCUCACAAAAUGCCCCCACCCAGACAAGUCACCCCCCAGCCCAACAAGGGGCUGGGGCAAUGGCUGCUGCCCCUCCCCCAGCUCAGGUGGGAGCAGGGGCAUCCGGAGAUGAAGAUGAAAAUGCUGCCACCAAAGAAGAUUCAGCCCUCCUCAGGAAGCUGAUCCACUCAAAGCUUGUGUCAACAAAGGCAGAUUUAGAAGUUCUGCAGAAAGAUCCCAAUUCUCCACUCUACUCUGUUAAAUCAUUUGAAGCACUAAAUCUAAAGAAGGAGUUAUUGGAUGGAAUCUACAGCAUGGGAUACAACACACCAUCAAAGAUCCAGGAGACUGCCCUACCAGUCCUGCUGGCUGACCCCCCUGUAAACAUGAUUGCUCAGAGCCAGAGUGGGACAGGGAAGACAGCAGCCUUUGUGUUGACCAUGUUGAGUCGAGUCGACACCAACCAGCCCUACCCGCAGUGCCUCUGUAUUGCUCCUACAUACGAGCUAGCUUUGCAAAUAGGAAAAAAUGUAGAAGAUAUGGGAAAGUUCAUGAAAGACCUGCAGAUCAUCUAUGCAGUCAGAGGAGAGCGAUUGGACAGAGGAACAAAACUAAAUGGCCAUUUAAUCAUAGGAACCCCUGGGACAGUUUGUGACUGGGCCCUAAAGUUACGGUUCUUUGACCUCAAAAAGAUCAAUGUAUUUGUGUUGGAUGAAGCUGAUGUGAUGAUUGCUACACAGGGCCAUCAGGAUCAGUCCAUCAGGAUUCAGAGGUUUAAAUAGAACCAUUUUAUUUGAUUAUAGAGAAUUUAUCUAGUAUAAAGUAUUCUCUAUGGUUGACAUUAGAUACUUGUCUCUAUACAUGAAGGAUGAUGAAAGAUUUGAUGAUGAAUGGUUUUUUUAUUAAUUCAACAAAUGUGCCAGGAACCUUAGUUUCUCUGUAUACAGGUACAUACAUUGUAUUAUUCAUGGAAAAAAGUACUGGGGUAUUUAUUUAAGAAAUCAAUUUUGGAAAAGUAGGAUUUCAUUAUUUGAGAGUUUCUGAAUGAGAAUGAUUUGCCUUCAAGUCUAGUAUAAAAUAACUUUAAUCCUGCAGGGGUCUACGAAAGGACUGUCAGAUGUUGUUGUUUUCUGCCACAUACGAGGAGGAAGUCAUGAGAUUUGCACAAGCUGUGAUACCCAACAACCCGAUCGUCAUACGACUACGGCGAGAGGAACAAUCCCUGGACAACAUCAAACAGUACUUCAUCGAGUGUGCGGAUGCAGAGGGAAAGUUCCAGGCCCUCUCCAACAUCUAUGGAUCCAUAUCAAUAGGACAGUCCAUGAUAUUUUGUGCAACUAGACGAACAGCUGCUUGGCUGGCAGAGAAGAUGACAAAGGAAGGUCACGCAGUUGGGCUCCUGAGUGGAGAUCUGUCCAUAGAACAGAGGGCUGCCAUCAUUAACAGAUUUAAAGAUGCCAAGGAGAAAGUUCUCAUCACCACCAAUGUGACAGCAAGAGGUGGGGGCUUACAUACAUGUUAUAAUGCUUACACACUGACUUGUUUAUGAAUCAUUUUGAUCGGUGAAUACUGUGUAGUAAUUUGAUAUCGGUUCAAAUGAGAUCGUGAUUUGCAUAUAACUAUCAUUGAAAAAGGCAUUAUUUGUCCAAGUUCUGCCCCUUGUGAACUAUGUAAAUCCUGUUCCUGUUAGCACAACUCCUCUGAAACCCCAUCAACAGAAUUUUAUAAAACUUGUAUUUAUGGCAUAUUGUGUAGAGUUUAAUAUAUGGUUCCAUUUUUCUCCAUUGAGUUAUGUCUCUUUAGACUAAUCAUUCUAAUGUAAUGCUCUUUAGACAACGACUCUCUUAUUUACUUGCAUGUUACAAAAUACAGUAAUGGUAUUUCAUUCCCUUACAGGUAUUGAUGUGGAACAGGUCACAGUUGUUGUGAACUUUGACCUUCCCCUGACCCAAGACCACAAACCAGACUUUGAGACGUACCUUCACAGAAUAGGAAGAACCGGGCGUUUUGGCAAGAAGGGCUUAGCAAUUAACAUGGUGGAUAGUCGCCAGUCUUUUGCUACAUUGAAAGCCAUCGAGAAAUAUUUUGGUCGUAAAGUAGAGAAGCUAGACGCUGAAGAUAUGGAAGAAGUGGAGAAAAUUGGAAGUUAAUCUCAAACAGUUGAAGCUUGGCAUCUGGACAUUAUCACUUUCGCUCUUACAUCAGUCUCAUGCAGUGGCAGAUAGAAUCCAUUUUAUGAAGUCAAACAAUCAUGAUGAAAAUUACCUUUAAUGUAAAAGCUUGGAAUAUGUGAACACUAAGGAUUCUGUUUCUUUGGUGGAUUGAAAUAACAGUGAAUGAACUUUUUUUGAAAAGACUUAUUUUACUUCCAUAUGUUAUCAUAAUAUGAUUGUAAAAACGCCAGCCAUUUUAUUUCAUGUAAGAAAGAAAUCUUGUCAGAAGAAUGUUAGCAAGUGGCACUGGGCCAAGUUUUAAAUCAGAAGGUACUUCACUUUUAUGUAUGGCCCUGUUUUUGUAGUUUUAUGAUGUUGUUACCAUGUGAAACUUAUCAAAUUAAAGCUUUUUAUUAU